rnacentral:pre_miRNA from 1 species
UAUAUACUCCCUCCGUUCGGAAUUACUUGUCGCAGAAACGGAUGUAUCUAGAUGUAUUUUAGUUCUAGAUACAUCCAUAUCCAAGACAAGUAAUUCCGAAUGGAGGGAGUAGAAA